AUGGUAAGCAAGCUGUUGCCCCUUCCUCCUUGUCUUCUUGCAGGAAUUCUGGAGAAGGAGAACGAGGAGCUCCGUGCCAAGUAUGGUGAGUUGCUGUGCUUGCCCACAAGCAUUCCCGAUGGGGGUAAGGCCUUGGGGAUGGUGAGGGGGGCUAUUCCAGCCAUGACAGGUGUUCCAAGUCAGCCUUUUGAGUAUGCCUGCAUGUUAUUACCUCUUCCGUCUUUCUGAGUGCUGGUUCGGAGGAGAUGUUGUGUCCCUACACUCCUCGUGUCCCAGUAGGACUGUGGG
rnacentral:lncRNA from 7 species